UCGGGAAUUUUGGGCAAUGGGCGAAAGCCUGACCCAGCAACGCCGCGUGAAGGAUGAAGUAUUUCGGUAUGUAAACUUCGAAAGAAUAGGAAGAAUAAAUGACGGUACUAUUUAUAAGGUCCGGCUAACUACGUGCCAGCAGCCGCGGUAAUACGUAGGGACCAAGCGUUGUUCGGAUUUACUGGGCGUAAAGGGCGCGUAGGCGGCAUGACAAGUCACUUGUGAAAUCUCUGGGCUUAACCCAGAACGGCCAAGUGAUACUGUCGCGCUAGAGUGCAGAAGGGGCAAUCGGAAUUCUUGGUGUAGCGGUGAAAUGCGUAGAUAUCAAGAGGAACACCUGAGGUGAAGACGGGUUGCUGGGCUGACACUGACGCUGAGGCGCGAAAGCCAGGGGAGCAAACAGGAUUAGAUACCCAAGUAGUCCCUGAGCGGGCUGGCAAGGCGCAU
rnacentral:rRNA from 1 species